rnacentral:rRNA from 1 species
GAAUCUUCCGCAAUGGACGCAAGUCUGACGGAGCAACGCCGCGUGAGUGAAGAAGGUUUUCGGAUCGUAAAACUCUGUUGUCGGAGAAGAACACGUAAGCGAGUAACUGCGCUUACCAUGACGGUCCCCGACCAGAAAGCCACGGCUAACUACGUGCCCGCAGCCGCGGUAAUACGUAGGUGGCAAGCGUUGGCCGGAUUUAUUGGGCGUAAAGCGAGCGCAGGCGGUUCUUUAAGUCUGAUGUGAAAGCCCACGGCUCAACCGUGGAAGGUCAUUGGAAACUGGGGAACUUGAAUGCAGAAGAGGAGAGUGGAAUUCCAUGUGUAGCGGUGAAAUGCGUAGAUAUAUGGAGGAACACCAGUGGCGAAGGCGACUCUCUGGUCUGUUAUUGACGCUGAGGCUCGAAAGCGUGGGGAGCAAAC